UACAGAGGUCUCAAGCGUUGUUCGGAUUCAUUGGGCGUAAAGGGUGCGUAGGCGGCGCGGUAAGUCGGGUGUGAAAUCUCGGGGCUUAACUCCAAAACUGCAUUCGAUACUGCCGUGCUUGAGGACUGGAGAGGAGACUGGAAUUUACGGUGUAGCGGUGAAAUGCGUAGAUAUCGUAAGGAAGACCAGUGGCGAAGGCGGGUCUCUGGACAGUUCCUGACGCUGAGGCACGAAGGCCAGGGGAGCAAACGGG
rnacentral:rRNA from 1 species